CUUGACGGAGCCGAGCCAGAGCGGCCGGUCCGCGCUCCGGUGCCUGCCGUACGCGGCGAUCAGCGCCUGUGCCUC
rnacentral:antisense_RNA from 3 species